UUUUAUUUUUUUUCAUGACGACCAAUAAAAACGACAGUGUCACCCCUCAUGUUUCAUUUGAUAUAAACGACAGUGUUACCCCUUGUGUUUUUUUUCAUGACGACCAAAGUAAAACAACAGUGUCACCCCUUAUGUUUUAUUUGAUAAAUAUCGACGUGUUACCCCUUAUAUUUAUUUCAUGACGGCCGAUAAAAAAACGACAGUUACCCCUUGUGUUUUUUUCCAUGUUGACCAAUAAAUAACGACAGUGGCACCCCUAUCAACGUUUUUGCAGGGAUCGGAACAUGAGCUGUUUAGAGUGUUAACUUCCAAACUUAUCAAUGCACCAUCAAGACACAUUAUAUAAUCGUCCCAAAGCUUAUACUUGACCUUAUAAUUCGCAUGAAAUAGAGACAUGAGUAUUCCAACAGAGGACAUCAACCGGACUUGAACCCCGGGCUGCAGGGGUUUAGCUCACCGCUCUCUCCACUUCCCACUGAGAUUCGUAUUUUAAUUAAGUCUGAGGUUAUAUAUGACAUGAUAGCACUA
ensembl:lncRNA